CCACCAAAGAGGACCAUCAACCCGAUCCAUAAAGAUGACACUAGACUCUAACUCCCGAUCUCGAAUCAAAAGUAAUCGGCCGAUUAGAAUCCAAAAAGCAGCUCCGCGGGUCAAAUAUUAAUAGAGUAAAUGUAGAAUGAAAAAACAAACUAAACAUAUUCUUACAUUUCAUCAUAACAUCACCAAACUCACUAAUAUCAUUUCCUCAUUUGUGAAAAUAAUCUACCACUUUUUUUGAAUCGAGAGCAAUUUUAACAGAGUAGUGCCCAUUUUUCUCCGCUUUCCAAAUUAAUUUAUCCUUUGUGACUUGAGGCAAUAACGACGUUUUAAUAAUUGCAGAUGCAUUAUCUUGAUCAAACAACUGAUGAAUAAUUUGACAGCUCCACUUUUUGGUGGAAUUAUCAAGUUGCUUUUAAUAUGUCAACCAUUGAAUUAAUCAUGUGGCUCAAAUUUAGGGAAUGAGAGAGAAGGAGAUCAGUUAACUGUAUACCGAUUUAAUACUGCACUGUAGAAAUUGGACAGAAUUACACCUUAUAUGAUUACGAUGAUACGAAAAUCAAUUCGAUAUGGCAAGGCCACUCUUUGAAAACAACAGAAAAGAAAAAUUAUAGAGAUGAAAUGAGGAGAGAGAGAAGGAGAGAUUUUAAAAUUU
rnacentral:lncRNA from 1 species